UACGGAGGGGGGCUAGCGUUGUUCGGAAUUACUGGGCGUAAAGCGCACGUAGGCGGCUUUGUAAGUUAGAGGUGAAAGCCCAGAGCUCAACUCUGGAAUUGCCUUUAAGACUGCAUCGCUUGAACAUCGGAGAGGUGAGUGGAAUUCCGAGUGUAGAGGUGAAAUUCGUAGAUAUUCGGAAGAACACCAGUGGCGAAGGCGGCAUCCUGGACCGGCAUUGACGCUGAGGAGCGAAAGCUAGGGGAGCAAACGGG
rnacentral:rRNA from 1 species